UGGUUCUGGCAUCGAUGAAGAACGCAGCGAAAUGCGAUAAGUAAUGCGAAUUGCAGAAUUCUACGAGUCAUCGAAUCUUUGAACGCACAUUGCGCCUAUUAGUAUUCUAGUAGGCAUGCCUGUCCGAGCGUCAUUUCGACCCCCAAGCCCUGGCCGCUUGGUGUUGGGGCGCUGUAGCCUGCGCUGCAGCCCCCGAAAUAUAGUGGCGGACCCAACGAGGACCCGAGCGCAGUAGUACCCCUCUCGCUCAGGGCGCCCCGGCAGGACUCCAGCCGUAAAAACCCUAUUGUAACCAAAGGUUGACCUCGGAUCAGGUAGGAAUACCCGCUGA
rnacentral:misc_RNA from 1 species